AGAGUUUGAUCCUGGCUCAGGACGAACGCUGGCGGCGUGCCUAAUACAUGCAAGUCGAACGAAACUUUCUUACACCGAAUGCUUGCAUUCACCGUAAGAAGUUGAGUGGCGGACGGGUGAGUAACACGUGGGUAACCUGCCUAAAAGAAGGGGAUAACACUUGGAAACAGGUGCUAAUACCGUAUAUCUCUAAGGAUCGCAUGAUCCUUAGAUGAAAGAUGGUUCUGCUAUCGCUUUUAGAUGGACCCGCGGCGUAUUAACUAGUUGGUGGGGUAACGGCCUACCAAGGUGAUGAUACGUAGCCGAACUGAGAGGUUGAUCGGCCACAUUGGGACUGAGACACGGCCCAAACUCCUACGGGAGGCAGCAGUAGGGAAUCUUCCACAAUGGACGCAAGUCUGAUGGAGCAACGCCGCGUGAGUGAAGAAGGUCUUCGGAUCGUAAAACUCUGUUGUUAGAGAAGAACACGAGUGAGAGUAACUGUUCAUUCGAUGACGGUAUCUAACCAGCAAGUCACGGCUAACUACGUGCCAGCAGCCGCGGUAAUACGUAGGUGGCAAGCGUUGUCCGGAUUUAUUGGGCGUAAAGGGAACGCAGGCGGUCUUUUAAGUCUGAUGUGAAAGCCUUCGGCUUAACCGGAGUAGUGCAUUGGAAACCGGAAGACUUGAGUGCAGAAGAGGAGAGUGGAACUCCAUGUGUAGCGGUGAAGUGCGUAGAUAUAUGGAAGAACACCAGUGGCGAAAGCGGCUCUCUGGUCUGUAACUGACGCUGAGGUUCGAAAGCGUGGGGUAGCAAACAGGAUUAGAUACCCUGGUAGUCCACGCCGUAAACGAUGAAUGCUAGGUGUUGGAGGGUUUCCGCCCUUCAGUGCCGCAGCUAACGCAAUAAGCAUUCCGCCUGGGGGAGUACGACCGCAAGGUUGAAACUCAAAGGAAU
rnacentral:rRNA from 1 species